rnacentral:snoRNA from 1 species
ACUGGAGAGCUGAUCAGACUGGGUCUGAAGAGUGAGACUCAGAUGACAGUAGCCUCCUAAAAGAAAAUGGAUGGAGAGAGCAGCCCUACUUACAGAGAAAGAAAGGGCUGACUGUGCCACCCAACACUU